ACGAUGAACGCUGGCGGCGUGCUUAAACAUGCAAGUCGAACGAGAACCAUCAAGCUUGCUUGGCGGUUCGAGUGGCGAAUGGGUGCGUAACACGUAGGUGACCUGCCCCUGGAUGGGGGAUAACGCGCCGAAAGGCGCGCUAAUACCGCAUAGGCUCUUGGGGUCAUAGCCAAGAGUAAAGCCUGAUUUAUCAGGCGUCUAGGGAGGGGCCUGCGGCCAUCAGCUGGUUGGUAGGGUAACGGCCUACCAAGGCGGAGACGGGUAGGGGGCCUGAGAGGGUGGUCCCCCACACUGGCACUGACACACGGGCCAGACUCCUACGGGAGGCAGCAGUGAGGAAUAUUGCGCAAUGGGCGAAAGCCAGACGCAGCAACGCCGCGUGGAGGAUGAAGGCCUUCGGGUCGUAAACUCCUUUUCUGCCGGAAGAGGAAGGACGGUACGGCAGGAAUCAGCCUCGGCUAACUACGUGCCAGCAGCCGCGGUAAAACGUAGGAGGCGAGCGUUAUCCGGAUUUACUGGGCGUAAAGCGUGCGCAGGCGGUCCGACAGGUCGGGCGUGAAAUCUCCUGGCUUAACUGGGAGAGGUCGUCCGAAACCGUUGGACUUGAGCGCCGGAGAGGGACGUGGAAUUCCCGGUGUAGUGGUGAAAUGCGUAGAGAUCGGGAGGAACACCAGUGGCGAAAGCGACGUCCUGGCCGGCUGCUGACGCUCAGGCACGAAAGCGCGGGGAGCGAACGGGAUUAGAAACCCCGGUAGUCCGCGCCGUAAACGAUGGACACUAGGUGUGGGAGGUAUGAACCCCUUCCGUGCCGAAGCCAACGCGUUAAGUGUCCCGCCUGGGGACUACGGCCGCAAGGUUAAAACUCAAAGGAAUUGACGGGGGCCCGCACAAGCAGCGGAGCGUGUGGUUUAAUUCGAGGCUACACGAAGAACCUUACCAGGGCUUGACAGGUGCGUGGUAGGGAAGGGAAACCGGACCGACCCGCAAGGGAGCGCACACAGGUGCUGCAUGGCUGUCGUCAGCUCGUGCCGUGAGGUGUUAGGUUAAGUCCUGUAACGAGCGCAACCCCUGCCGCUAGUUAUACGUGUCUAGCGGGACUGCCCGGGCAACUGGGAGGAAGGUGGGGAUGAUGUCAAGUCCGCAUGGCCUUUAUGCCCUGGGCUACACACACGCUACAAUGGCCGGUACAAUGGGAAGCCAACCUGCGAAGGGGAGCGAACCUCAUCAAAGCCGGUCUCAGUUCGGAUUGGGGGCUGCAACCCGCCCCCAUGAAGUCGGAGUUGCUAGUAACCGUGCAUCAGCUAUGGUGCGGUGNAAUGCGUUCCCGGG
rnacentral:rRNA from 1 species